CUUAUGUUCAACCCUGUGUAUAUGUCUAAAUCAGAGCAAAACAAAUCGAGCAUCUCUUUUUCUCCUAUCAAUUUUUCUUUCGUGUGUCAUCAUACACUCCAUUAGCAGACGGAAAGAGAUGAAAAAUUCAGUUUGUUUACAUUAUUAAAUGCAGUAAAUAAAAUUUGUUCAUUUCAAGUCUAUUUUCUCCAGUUAAAACAUGCAUUGAAAAAUGUUUAUCACAAUCGAAGCAUGAACGAGUUCCGGAAGCGCUUGUGGAGUAUAUUUUGUUGUUUGACCGAGUAAGCUGGUGAUGUCGAGGGCCCUACUAUAUGGUAGUGCAAAUUACGAGAUUACUGCGAGCGAAACGUGUACCAGCGUACGCAGCUUUGAUAAACGUCUGCUAUCUGUAUCGGUGACCAUGCCGCUUUGUAGCGGCGAAAAUGGAUACCCUCGGUACGAGAUCUAAACAUGCUAGCAUGCUAUUUGGAGCGGGCGCAUAACAAUUCAUGACUAUAUAUAAAGAAUAAGCAUAAUAAUAUAUAAGAAUAAACAAAAACGUCA